ACCAGGUGUGGUGACACACACCUGUAAUUCUAGACAUUGGGGAGGUUGAGGCAGGGUGAUCUCAAGUUUGAGGCUAGCCUGGUAACUUAGAGAGACCCUGUCUCAU
rnacentral:sRNA from 1 species